UACGUAGGGUGCGAGCGUUGUCCGGAAUUAUUGGGCGUAAAGAGCUCGUAGGCGGUGUGUCGCGUCGGCCGUGAAAAACCUGGGGCUCAACUCUGGGCGUGCGGUCGAUACGGGCAUCACUUGAGUUCGGCAGGGGAGACUGGAAUUCCUGGUGUAGCGGUGAAAUGCGCAGAUAUCAGGAGGAACACCGGUGGCGAAGGCGGGUCUCUGGGCCGAUACUGACGCUGAGGAGCGAAAGCAUGGGUAGCGAACAGG
rnacentral:rRNA from 1 species